AGGGUUCGAUUCUGGCUCAGGACGAACACUGGCGGCGUGCCUAACACAUGCAAGUCGAGCGAUGAAACCCUUCGGGGUGGAUUAGCGGCGGACGGGUGAGUAACACGUGGGUAAUCUGCCUCAAAGAGGGGGAUAGCCUCCCGAAAGGGAGAUUAAUACCGCAUAAUAUUAUUUCUUCGCAUGAAGAGAUAAUCAAAGGAGUAAUCCGCUUUGAGAUCGGACCCGCGGCGCAUUAGCUAGUUGGUGAGGUAAUGGCUCACCAAGGCGACGAUGCGUAGCCGACCUGAGGAGGGUGAUCGGCCACAUUGGAACUGAGAUACGGUCCAGACUCCUACGGGAGGCAGCAGGUGGGGAAUAUUGCGCAAGUGGGGGAAACCCUGAACCGCAGCAACGCCGCGUGGGUGAAGAAGGCCUUCGGGUUGUAAAGCUCUGUCUUCUGGGACGAUAAUGACGGUACCAGAGGAGGAAGCCACGGCUAACUACGUGCCAGCCGCCGC
rnacentral:rRNA from 1 species